rnacentral:rRNA from 1 species
UAGCGUAUACUAAAGUUGUUGCAGUUAAAAAGCUCGUAGUUGGAUCUCGAGACCGGCCCGUCGGUCCUCCUCGCGGAGGUUUUACUGGCGUGCUCGCCGGCCUCACCUCGCCGGCUCUCUGCAGGUGCUCUUUACUGCGUGCCUGCGGCGGCCGGAGCGUUUACUUUGAAAAAAUUAGAGUGUUCAAAGCAGGCGUGCUCGCCUGAAUACUGGUGCAUGGAAUAAUGGAAUAGGACCUCGGUUCUAUUUUGUUGGUUUUCGGAAGUCGAGGUAAUGAUUAGUAGGGACGGUCCGGGGGCAUUCGUAUUGCGCGGUU